UUUUUUUGGAGACAGGGUCUCCCUGUAGCCCUGGAACUUGCUAUGUACACCAGGCUGGCCUUGAACUCUACCUGCCUCUGCCUCCCAAGUGCUGGGAUUAAAGGCAUGCACCACCAUGCCUGACUCAACUGGCUUAAUAACACAGCUGGUACUUGAUCAUAUAUACCAAUGAGGAGGAUAUAGUAGGUUCUGUUUUAACUGCCUUAAAAGUUUUCUUCCCAAAGAAAAAAUUUUGUUUAAGGAAUUGAUUAAAGGAAAGUGCACUGUUGUGCAAAAAUUUCUAUCAGACUAUAUUGUGGGGGGCAAGUGAAUUGAGAGAUAGGAACCCAGGCAGCGAGAAUGUUUGUGUAUGUUGGGGAGGGAGUGUGUUUACACAGAAGCUGGGGUUGGAA